AAGUCGUAACAAGGUUUCCGUAGGUGAACCUGCGGAAGGAUCAUUAUUGAAUAAACUUGAUCAGGUUGUUGCUGGCUCCCCUGAGCAUGUGCACACUUGUCAUCUUUACUUUUCCCCAAUGUGCACAUAUUGUAGGCCUGGAGCUCUUUUGAUUAUCUUGUAUAGAUUGAGGACUGCUGUGCUUCAGCCAGCUUUUCCUUGUGUUUCCAGGUCUAUGUUUACCUUCACAAACUCUGAAUAUGUUUAGAAUGUUGAAAUAUAAUAUAUAUAUACAACUUUCAGCAACGGAUCUCUUGGCUC
rnacentral:misc_RNA from 1 species